rnacentral:lncRNA from 1 species
AGGCUUUCCUGAAGACUUUUCCAAGGUGGUAUUUCUGUAUAACUGAUAUGCCAUGACUCAGGAGGAAGAAAUUACUUUAUUUUCAGGCUUGCAUUGAUAUCUUAUUUUACAUUUAACUUCUGGCUCCUCCAACAGAAUAUAAGCUUCGUGGAUUUUUGUCUGUUUUGUUCACUGAAGUAAACUGGGCAUCUAGAACAGUAGCAGUCCCUGCGGGGGCGCUUCCCAGCUGUGGAACGCAGCACAGGAGCGCCAGGGGGCCACAGGAGGAGCAGCCUAGCCGACCACCUCCUCAGCUGCCGUGGAAACCGCAGAGCGGGGAUCGUGACCUGGAAGUGCUCAAUAAUAAUGAUUUUAAGACACAUUUUAAAUGGAAUCAAACUCAGGACCUUGCACUUGCCAGGCAGGUGUGGCACCACUGAACUACAUCCCUGGCCUCCUGGUGGUGCAGCAGAACAGUCA